GCGCCCCGCAGGAGCCUCCUCCUCCCGCCGGCGCGGCGCCUGUGCCCUGGUCCCGGUGUCCCCGCUCGGUGCCACCGAAGGAUCUAGGGGCUCGGGCCGGGGAGGGGGUGGAGGGGGGAGUGGAGGCGCGAUACGAACCCGUGGGAGCCUCCCCAACCCCGCAGUCCCAGCGGCAAACUGUGCUUGGUCGGACGGAUGCCCGCGCGGAGGGGUAGCCACGGGAGUGCCUCCGCCCAUGACAGCAGUGUGCAGGAAGCUGACCUGGAGCUGGGAAGCCGGGAGAAGGCACGUGGGGUUCCACCUAGAUAAACCCCAAAAAGACAGCUCCAGUGAGGGACUAGCAAACCUGAGACCAGGGAACUGAAACACAGAGAAGUCCAAUGACUUGUCCAAGGUCACACGGCUAGAAGGCAGAAGAGCAAGGAUUCAGCCUGGGUUGGCUCAACUCUCACCUGUGUUUUUGUUGUUGUUGUUGUUAUUUUGUUUGUUUGUUUUGAGACAUAGUCACAUAGUCUCACUCACCUCCUCCUCUCCUCUCCUUAAGCCUUUAAGCAUUGGCAUGCUAAGUCAUAUGACAUCUAGUCUCAUUCUGUCGUCCAGGUUGGAGUGCAGUGGCACAAUCUCGGCUCACUGCAACCUCUGCCUCCCAGGUUCAAGC
rnacentral:lncRNA from 10 species